UGGAAAUCCUCUGGCUCUUGCCUGAGCCAUGGUCCUAGUUAAACCAUGGAGAUGGGAUUGGUUCCACGGUUCCACUAAGGAUGCAUGUAGGCAGUUCUGUGACGCACAAACACACAUUCUGAUUUAGACCUGGAACUGACUGCAUCUCCCUGGAAUUCUUUGGGCCAGAAUCACCCAUAGUCCCAGACUGGUCAACUAAAGUCAUCCUGAGUCAUAUUUAUUGUACACCAAUCCUAUGCCAGGUGCUUUUAUAUUGGUAUAUCAUUUGAACCUUCUGACAAUUUUGUGAGGUGUAGAUGCCAGCCCGAUUUUAUGAAUUAGGAAAUUGAAAGGCAGAGAGGCUGUCCAGCAAGUACAUGGAAGGCCUGGGAUUUGAGAGGCAGACUGUGAGUGUCCUGUUGUCAUCUAUCCUUGACAUGAGUUCUCUCCCAGCAGUAAGCAGUCUUGAAUAUCAUAAUUAGGGUUCAUAUCAGAUGUCCAUUGAAUGGCCAUUAUACUUGGGACUGUACAGUAAUAUACUUCUCAAGCAGUAAGGUUUUUUGCUGCAAACCCCAAAAUCCACCCCUGAAAUAUGAGAACAUUCUGAACCUUCUUCAUGAAGCCCCUCUACUCUACUCAAAUUUGUGCAUAGUUUACAAUAUGAGUUAUCUGAUUUCCCAGUCUACAACAAAUUAGAAGCAGUAGAGCAGCUAGAGACAGUUGUGUUUUACUGUUAGGCAAGUGAUUAUCACUUCUUGGUUUUGUAGAAGUACUUGGACUUAAGAGUCAGACAGACCUGAGCACAGUUCCCAUGUACUAUCUAUCGUGUGACUUACAGAAGGUCAGUUAACUUCUCUGAGCCUCAGUUUGCUAUCUGUAAGAUAAAGAUAAUGUCCACCUCAAGGCUAUUGUGAUAGAGAUAAUGAACAUCAAGUGUCUAGUUCAUAGUACUUGGUUAGGAAAUAACUUAUUAUUUUCAAAGUAAUGCUUUGGGAUUUAAUCUUACCAGUGUGGGAAAAUGAGUUGUCAUCCUUCAUUUAUUAUUUUUUUCAACUAACUUUUAUUAGCGUGCCCACUUUGUGUUAUAGGCAACACAUCGGAAUAUCAAAACUGAUACUAUAACCAAGUGAAUCAGGAGUGCUAAUGGAACCAGUGCCUCAGUGGGUAUCCUUAUGAUUCUACUCACCUCUCAAAUCCAUGACUCUUUGAUUUCAUCAGCACCACUACCUUUCAGGUAUUAUCAGCUCGAAAAUGAAGGCAUUAGAUCUCUAAGAGGCCCCUCUGUCCCUGAGGCUCUUAAGAUUGUGAGGAUUCAUUCAUUGAACAAAUUACCACGAGUCUCUGUACUGGGCACUCUGCCAAGCCCUGAAGAUAAAGUCACGAACAAAUCAGAAGGAGAACCUGCCCUCAUGGAGUAUUUAAAGGAAGAGGCAACCACAUAAAUAAUUACAUUAGCAGCAACAUGUAAUAGAGGGAGCUCAAUCAC